ensembl:snoRNA SNORA70 Small nucleolar RNA SNORA70
CUGCAGCUAAUUAAGCCGACCAGCUCCCCUAGGCCAUGGGCACCUGGUGUGCAGCGGCUGCAGACAGCAUUCUCCUUGGUAGUGUAUGCAGCCUGUUCCUUGUACGGGUUGCUCUAAGGGACCUCGGAGACAGUC